rnacentral:miRNA from 1 species
GACACUGUUUUACACUUACCCGA